UCCUACGGGAGGCAGCAGUGAGGAAUAUUGGACAAUGGGUGAGAGCAUGAUCCAGCCAUGCCACGUGCAUGAAGACGGCCUUAUGGGUUGUAAACUGCUUUUAUACAGGAAUAAACCAUCUUACGUGUAGGGUGUUGAAGGUACUGUAUGAAUAAGCACCGGCUAACUCCGUGCCAGCAGCCGCGGUAAUACGGAGGGUGCAAGCGUUAUCCGGAUUUAUUGGGUUUAAAGGGUCCGCAGGCGGGUCUGUAAGUCAGGGGUGAAAUCCGGCAGCUUAACUGUCGAACUGCCUUUGAUACUGCAGGUCUUGAGUGGGAAUGAAGCAGCUGGAAUGUGUGGUGUAGCGGUGAAAUGCAUAGAUAUCACGCAGAACACCGAUCGCGAAGGCACGUUGAUGAUUCACAACUGACGCUGAG
rnacentral:rRNA from 1 species